CGAGCCCCAAUUGAAUGACGCUUUUGCCCUUCUCUUCUUUGUCUAAUUACGGGUUGCCAUGCUUCUAUACGUUUCCAGACGUCUCUAUAUGAGGCAACCGACCUCAUACUUUUCCAGAAGUCUCUAUCUUGAGGCAAUAUAGAGAACCACAGUCGUUUCCAGAAGUCGAUCCUUAUUAAACCAAGCGUUGCAACCGACCUCAUACUUUUCCGGAAAUCUCUAUCAAAAUCGAAAUCCCAUCUCAUAAUCCACCGACAUCAGCGAUAAAAAUAAAAAAUAGUGAUUCAUCCUUUUCAGGCAGCCUCUAUCCAAAUCGAGCUUCAUAUUCAACCGACCUCGGCAGGGGAAUUGAAAUCACAGUAAGAAUUGGAGAUGGCAGCUGAGAAUGCCAGGAGAGGGAUAAAGAGGUUCUUGGAACAAUCCACAAGUGACCGAGUUGAUCAAGGAGAAUCUAAAUGUAGUUGUGUCAAAUCAAAGAGAUUGAAAACAAGUGAGUAUAGCUUUGAUGCUUUCUUAAA